rnacentral:rRNA from 1 species
AUUGAACGCUGGCGGUAGGCCUAACACAUGCAAGUCGAACGGCAGCACAGUAAGAGCUUGCUCUUACGGUUGGCGAGUGGCGGACGGGUGAGAAAUACAUCGGAAUCUACUUUUUCUUGGGUGAUAACGUAGGGAAACUUACGCUAAUACCGCAUACGACCUACGGGUGAAAUCAGGGGAUCUUCGGACCUUUCGCGAUUGAAUGAGCCGAUGUCGGAUUAGCUAGUUGGCGGGGUAAAGGCCCACCAAGGCGACGAUCCGUAGCUGGUCUGAGAGGAUGAUCAGCCACACUGGAACUGAGGCACGGUCCAGACUCCUACGGGAGGCAGCAGUGGGGAAUAUUGGACAAUGGGCGCAAGCCUGAUCCAGCCAUGCCGCGUGUGUGAAGAAGGUCUUCGGGUUGUAAAGCCCUUUUGUUGGGAAAGAAAAGCAGCAGGUUAAUACCCCGCUGUUUUGACGGUACCCAAAGAAUAAGCACCGGCUAACUUCGUG